rnacentral:rRNA from 1 species
ACGUACACUCCUACGGGAGGCAGCAGUGGGGAAUUUUGGACAAUGGGCGAAAGCCUGAUCCAGCCAUGCCGCGUGCAGGAUGAAGGCCUUCGGGUUGUAAACUGCUUUUGUACGGAACGAAACGGCCUUUUCUAAUAAAGAGGGCUAAUGACGGUACCGUAAGAAUAAGCACCGGCUAACUACGUGCCAGCAGCCGCGGUAAUACGUAGGGUGCAAGCGUUAAUCGGAAUUACUGGGCGUAAAGCGUGCGCAGGCGGUUAUGUAAGACAGUUGUGAAAUCCCCGGGCUCAACCUGGGAACUGCAUCUGUGACUGCAUAGCUAGAGUACGGUAGAGGGGGAUGGAAUUCCGCGUGUAGCAGUGAAAUGCGUAGAUAUGCGGAGGAACACCGAUGGCGAAGGCAAUCCCCUGGACCUGUACUGACGCUCAUGCACGAAAGCGUGGGGGGCAAACAGGAUUAGAUACCCCUGUAGUCCCAUGAU